UACGAAGGUGGCAAGCGUUGUUCGGAUUUACUGGGCGUACAGGGAGCGUAGGCGGUUCGGUAAGCCCUCUGUGAAAUCUCCAGGCUUAACCUGGAACAGUCGGAGGGGACUGCUGGGCUAGAGGACGGGAGAGGAGCGCGGAAUUCCCGGUGUAGCGGUGAAAUGCGUAGAGAUCGGGAGGAAGGCCGGUGGCGAAGGCGGCGCUCUGGAACGUUUCUGACGCUGAGGCUCGAAAGCGUGGGGAGCAAACGGG
rnacentral:rRNA from 1 species